AUACGUAGGGGGCGAGCGUUGUCCGGAAUGACUGGGCGUAAAGGGCGUGUAGGCGGCUUUAUAAGUCUGGAGUGAAAGUCCUGCUUUCAAGGUGGGAAUUGCUUUGGAGACUGUAGAGCUUGAGUGCGGAAGAGGUAAGUGGAAUUCCCAGUGUAGCGGUGAAAUGCGUAGAGAUUGGGAGGAACACCAGUGGCGAAGGCGACUUACUGGGCCGUAACUGGCGCUGAGGCGCGAAAGCGUGGGGAGCGAACAGGAUUAGAUCCCCUGGUAGUCCACGCUGUAAACGAUGAAUGCUAGGUGUAGCGGGUAUCGACCCCUGCUGUGCGGCAGUAAACACAAUAAGCAUUCCGCCUGGGGAGUACGGCCGCAAGGUUGAAACUCAAAUGAAUUGACGGGG
rnacentral:rRNA from 1 species